AUAAAUUAGUUAGUUUAUAGGGCUGCCUUUCCUUGAGAUUUCAUGGAGGGGUGUGACAACCCACCUCUACUCAAUAUAUGAAGGGAGGGGAUAAGAUUAUAAACAACCCACCUCUGAUGUAAACUACUUCCUCCAUUACAUUUGUUUGUCACUUGGGACAAUUGCACAAAAAUUAAGAAAAUGAUUGAACAAUAUUAAUUAUAAUAAAAAAAAUACACCUUAUGACUAAAUUAUGUCUUUAUUGAAGUGCUCAAAUUAUAACUCUAUUAAUUCUCUCCUUUACUCUAUUAAUAGAGAUUAAGGGUAAAGUUGACAAAAAAAUAAUUAAUACUUUUUUAAUUUUCUAAAGCA
rnacentral:misc_RNA from 1 species